rnacentral:lncRNA from 1 species
GAUCUUAACGGACUGUCAAUGCCUAAUGGGCAAUCCUAUGAUCAGGAACGUUUAGGAUAUGUAUACGAAAGAGAAUGGUCUCAUGAAUCUAACUUCUUUAAAUUACAUUCUCCUAAUUACAUAUUCCUUGGACCUAUCGUUUAAGCAUAUAACAUUUAUAUGAGAUGGCUUAAAACAAUAAUAUUUUCCCUUUAUAUUAAACUAGAUUAGUUUAACAUGUGAAAUGUCUGUAAAGUAUCAUCAUAUCAUUGGUUUUAGGGCACUUUUCCAACAGGGUUCAACCCGACGACAUGAUCUGUGAAUGGGUUUUUGAUUUUAAAUAGUAUAUAUAUUUAUUUAGUUUCCAUUUAUACAUUUGAAAAAGAAUUUCCUACAUAUGCCUAGAUUAUAAUAACGUUUAUAGAUAUUAGCGAAAUAAUGGAAUUUACGAAAUUAUCCAAAAUCCUAUGAGAUGCACAAGUAUGCGUACUUUUAUGGGAUUUUAAUUACAAGUGUUUGUACCAUACUUGACCAAUCUCGAAACUACUAAGCAUCGAUCAAUGUUAUACCGUCAAGGACCCAUAAGAGUUUCCCUACAACCAGGAGGCCAAUCACAGCGCGACACGUGUCGACAUCAGAAGCCAAUCAUAGCGCGACAUGUGUCAACAUCAGAAGCCAAUCACAACACGGCACAUGUCAAUGUCAGAAUGAAACUAGAAACUCUCUUCUAUAAAUAGAGAUCAUUCUCUCACAAUAUUUCCUAAUGUCAUUUGUACUAAAUCACUCACUAGUACUCACUAAAGGAGAGCUUGAACCUAUGUACUUGUGUAAAC